rnacentral:lncRNA from 1 species
GUGUAUUCCUGAGGCUGCCGUGCAUCCCGUCACCCUAGAGCCAGAACUGGAGAUUGUCUCGGGAGCUGCGAGCCCGGGGAGGAAGAGCCUUUGUGGAGAAUACACAUCAACUCCAUUAACGAUGUUUUCGGAGUCCGUCAAUAACUCACCAAAACGUAACUUAAACACGAUGAAUUUAGGAGAUUAAACAAUUUCAUUAAUAUUGAAAUGGCCGCUGAGGCUGAGCGCGCGCGCUUGAAAUGCAAGCACACGUUUUUCAAUAUUAACAGAAGUACUUGAAAAGAAGAAUAAUGUCACCUUCUUAAUUCAGCAAAAAUAGCCGGGCUGGGGGAGGGAGAGCGGCGGCGGCUCUGCAGCGCGGCUGCUGAGACACGGAGGGACGGUCCCCAUCAAGCAGGGCUCCCCCAAACCUGGCAGGGAGCCUCAAAACGCAUUUUCCCAUCGCGACCAGCGCCGACCUCGUGGGUGUUAAACCGUGCUCCCCUCGUCCCAGCCCGGCUGCCCUCGGUCCCAUCUAAUCCCUCUCUCUCGGGGCAGGAUGUCGUUUAGAGAAUAAUAAAAAGAAAAAACCAAACCAGCUGAUGCAAAAAGGAGCCCGCAAGCUGUAAAGUUAAAGGAAAGUCGGCUUCCGUUGUCAUUUGCUGCUCCGAGUGCAGACGAGGAGGGAUCGACCCGGUGUCAGCAAAGGCUCCGCAGAGGAAAGGGAGACCGAUGGAAAUGUGUUUUAAAAGUCACCUCUAUUUCAGCACCGAGCGCCGAAUUUGCCCAAAAAGUCAUUUCCCAUACAGAAGUCACUAUUCCUCCAGUAUCUGGAAACCAGCACCCUGAAAAACAGCGACACUGGUGGGCAAUUCCACUCAUGUCAGAGGCUGUUACUACUUUAACUGUUGUCUCUGAAGUGGUUUGGAGAAGCAAAUCACCAAAGAUUUCCAAAACUCUCUGGUGAAGUUUAAGCAAUGAAUGACACCAAAGACAUUGCUCUGUGAAGUUGCUGCUGGUUGGUUUUGUCCCUUGUGUUUGUCAGGAUUCAGCCAGGUGCUCACUGCUCCCUCAGCUCUGUCCAUGAAUGUCUCUCUAGCUCAUCCUUG